GACGAACGCUGGCGGCGUGCUUAACACAUGCAAGUCGAACGGAAAGGCCCUGCUUUUGUGGGGUGCUCGAGUGGCGAACGGGUGAGUAACACGUGAGUAACCUGCCCUUGACUUUGGGAUAACUUCAGGAAACUGGGGCUAAUACCGGAUAGGAGCUCCUGCUGCAUGGUGGGGGUUGGAAAGUUUCGGCGGUUGGGGAUGGACUCGCGGCUUAUCAGCUUGUUGGUGGGGUAGUGGCUUACCAAGGCUUUGACGGGUAGCCGGCCUGAGAGGGUGACCGGCCACAUUGGGACUGAGAUACGGCCCAGACUCCUACGGGAGGCAGCAGUGGGGAAUAUUGCACAAUGGGCGGAAGCCGGAUGCAGCAACGCCGCGUGCGGGAUGACGGCCUUCGGGUUGUAAACCGCUUUCGCCUGUGACGAAGCGUGAGUGACGGUAAUGGGUAAAGAAGCACCGGCUAAGUACGUG
rnacentral:rRNA from 1 species